GCCUCUAUCCGAUUUACACUUAGUGCAAAUAGCUGCUGCCUAAUUUUAAAUGUUUAAAUGCAUAAAUAAAAAAGAAAAUGUAUGUGAUUUAUUACAAUAUCUUUUUCUUUUUUUUUGGACAGGGUUUGAUGUACCAUUGCAUUCUUUAACUGGACAAAACACAGCAACAAUGACCACCUUUGGUGCUGAACAAUCAGAAGCUCCUGCAUUUAAACCAGAUGACAUGUAUGAAAAGUUAACACUGUGAAACGAAUAUUGGCAUUUUUAAACUUUUGUGAUGUCAAAGUCUUUUUUAAAAAUCAGCAGUUAGUAAUUACAUGACAUCUCUCACAAAUUUUAAUAAAGGGGAACAUCUUUUAUACUCA